CGGCUCCAGGAGGAAACCUGAAGCUGCCCCUACCGCGCUGUCUCCGCCAGCCCCCUCCCGCUGCGGGGCUGCGGCCGUUGGCCUCCGGAGAUCGGAGGCGCGGAGGCUGGCGCGGACCUGGCGGGCCACAGGAGUGCCAGUUGCGCCCCGGGCGCCCCCACGCCUUGGCGCCUCCCGAGGGAGGCGCUGGGCUGCCCGCUCGCGAAAGGAGUUGUGCCAGGCCCGAGGGAGGCUCAGGCUGUUCCCAGCCAAAAGCCACCACACCCGUGACAUAAUACGGCCCGGGUCUAUUACAAUAGGAAAUAUUAUUUUUAAAAACAGCAUUUGCCCUCUUAUUUGAAGCUCAUGUUCCCUGGCCGAGAGCUUUGCAAGCUGCGAUUCCCUUCACGUUUAUGCACGCAAGUGGCUGCAAGUCUUAAUUCAAAAACGUAUGAAAACCAUAACCACUUUUACAAUGAACAGCAAUGUGAAGGGACUUCCUUAUCCUCCAAAGCAGUUUUCCUCUUAGAUGUGAUGACAGCCCCAAGAGCAGAAGCCAAGCCUCUUCAUCAGCCAGGCUCUCAUAUACAGACUUAAGACCAUUAUUGCAGCUUUAAAGACUGGCUACGCACAGAACCAUAACAAAGGUGUGGCCCGAGGAAGCUGGCCACCAAGAUCCCAAGCCAGAAUGGAGCCCAGCUCCCAGGCUGCCACCACCACUUCUCCUGGGCCUGGGCCUUUUCUGUCUCCCUUCCAGCCGCCACCUUCCCCAGCCCACCUUGCUGAUACGAAUGCUGAGAAAGGCUGAGAUUAGCAAGAGAAAGACCAUCGUGUGUCUGAAUGCCUUAGCCCUGUUCCAAGGCAAAGGCUGCAAUUCCGCCUUGGGAAAGGGACCCCAACACUGGCAUUGCACUCCUGACCUGGGCUGUCAUCCCAG
rnacentral:lncRNA from 1 species